CAAAUUAUAAUACGGAGUACUCCGACAAAUUUUCAAGGACACAUUUUGCAUCGUGCGGUACAUUGUCAUGAUACACUGUCAGAGUGACAAUGUACUUUAACGAAUUUUCUAUAGAACUAGCAACGCUGAAGAGUAAGAACAAAUUCACCAUAGUUACUGUUUAUUAUUGUGAAAAAUAAACUUGAACUAUGUUUUUCUGUACCAGAAAUGGGUUUAAAAGUUUAUUUGCCUAUAGACUACGGCACUUUUGAAAACACACUGAAAUGCUUCGUAAGAAAAACUGCCAUGUACGCAAAGCCUCCCAAUAUUUUGGCUUAUUCCAAGACCGAAUCGACAAGAAUUAGUCACUGCGUACUUUUGUAUAAGCAAACAUCUGCACAGUGAUUGGAUAACAAGCAAGGAUUCGAGCUUGAACUUAUAGCAAGGCAUUGCUACUUGUACAUGGACCAAUUUAACUGGGGCUAACGGAUGUAUUCCUAGCUUUUUCUAAAUGGUGAAAAGUUGUUUGGUAUUUGUUGCAUGGAAAUGUUUCAAAAUCAUGUGAAGGUACACAUUGAUGUUUUGUCGAAUAGCGGCUCUGCUUCCUCACUUACAAUUGCAAAGUUAACGAAACACCAGAUAGUGAAAUGGGAUUCUCGAUAAGAUUCGACAAAUGCAUGACUGAUUCACGGUUUAUCAGACGCUAGCAGUGUUCUUAAAACAGGCAGAAUGGUUCAGCAAUUCUUCAACAAACCAUUGUCUCCAAUUAUACUCACUUCCGCUUUGAAACCAAUUUCGAUGAAUAAAGUGCCUGUUGAUUUUUCUACAA